rnacentral:rRNA from 1 species
UGGGGAAUUUUGGACAAUGGGCGAAAGCCUGAUCCAGCAAUGCCGCGUGUGUGAAGAAGGCCUUCGGGUUGUAAAGCACUUUUUGUCCGGAAAGAAAUCCUUGGCUCUAAUACAGUCGGGGGAUGACGGUACCGGAAGAAUAAGCACCGGCUAACUACGUGCCAGCAGCCGCGGUAAUACGUAGGGUGCAAGCGUUAAUCGGAAUUACUGGGCGUAAAGCGUGCGCAGGCGGUUUGCUAAGACCGAUGUGAAAUCCCCGGGCUCAACCUGGGAACUGCAUUGGUGACUGGCAGGCUAGAGUAUGGCAGAGGGGGGUAGAAUUCCACGUGUAGCAGUGAAAUGCGUAGAGAUGUGGAGGAAUACCGAUGGCGAAGGCAGCCCCCUGGGCCAAUACUGACGCUCAUGCACGAAAAGCGUGGGGGAGCAAAACAGGAUUAGAUACCCUGGUAGUCCCACGCCCUAAACGAUGUCAACUAGUUUGUUGGGGGAUUUCAUUUUCCUUAGUAACGUAGCUAACGCGUGAAGUUGACCGCCUGGGGGAGUAC